UACGUAGGGGCAAGCGUUGUCCGGAAUCAUUGGGCGUAAAGCGCGUGUAGGCGGUUCAGUAAGUCUGCUGUGAAAGUCCAGGGCUCAACCCUGGGAUGCCGGUGGAUACUGCUGGACUAGAGUGCGGAAGAGGCGAGUGGAAUUCCCGGUGUAGCGGUGAAAUGCGCAGAUAUCGGGAGGAACACCAAUUGCGAAGGCAGCUCGCUGGGACGUUACUGACGCUGAGACGCGAAAGCGUGGGGAGCAAACAGG
rnacentral:rRNA from 1 species